UUUCCGUAGGUGAACCUGCGGAAGGAUCAUUCACAAUAAAGUGUUUUAUGGCACUUUUAAAAAUCCAUAUCCACCUUGUGUGCAAUGUUAGAUCUCGUCAACCUUGGCGAGAUUUUUAUACAUCAACUCAUUCUUUAACCAAUUUGUCUGAAAAAUAUUAUGAAUACUUAAUUCAAAAUACAACUUUCAACAACGGAUCUCUUGGCUCUC
rnacentral:misc_RNA from 1 species